rnacentral:lncRNA from 1 species
AAUUAAGGUGCUGGAGGAAAUUUCUAAUAUUUCACCUGCAAGAUCAGAAAUUUAUGCAUAUUAGAUAAAUAAAAAAAAAAUUUCAAAAAAAGAGAGCUAGAGCUGGAGAAGAGAGAAGCUACUGAGAGGAGGAGAAGAAAGAGAGGGACGGCAGAAGUCGAGAGAGGAUAGUAAAAUUUUGUAACCCUAGACAUUUUGUAACAAAAAAUCGAAGAGAGAUUGGUGUGAUUUGACAUGGGCCGCUGUUUGCAAGAGUUGCUCACCUGCUCUCUGACAACAUAGGAAGAAGCAACAAAGAGAAAUAGAAGAGAAGAAUUGAAGGUGAAAUAAGGGCGACUAAACUUGCCAAAAAUUAAGUACAAAGGAAGUCGGAGAAGCAACCAUUUUCAUCAAUACCAUCACAUUGAACUGUAAAACGAGGAAUAAUCUCGGAGAAGCAAAGUACAGUGCAGUCAAACAGGACUAAGGAAAGACGGGGCUUCGAAGUGGGAAGACGUGUACGGAGUGGGAGCAGCCUCAGGAUGUGGAGGAAACACAGCAGCAGAGAGGAGAGGGAAAAUGAGUGCAGAAAGAGCUAAAACUUGGAGUGGAAAGAAGAGUGCAGAAGGAGGAAAAACUUCGAGUGGGUGGAGCCGGUAUAGCAGAGACUGACGAACUGGCAGAAAGGUUGCUGAC